GACGAACGCUGGCGGCGUGCCUAACACAUGCAAGUCAACUUGACUGAAGGAGCAAUCUGACAGUAGAGUGGCGCAAGGGUGCGUAACGCGUAAGUAACUUGCCCAAGGUAAGGAAUAACGUCGAGAAAUCGGCGCUAAUACCUCAUAAUGCAGCGGAUCCGCAUGGAUAUGUUGUUAAAAGGGUUUAUCGCCUUGGGAUAGGCUUGCGUCUGACUAGCUAGUUGGUGUGGUAACGGCACACCAAGGCUACGAUCAGUAACUGGUCUGAGAGGAUGAUCAGUCACACUGGAACUGAGACACGGUCCAGA
rnacentral:rRNA from 1 species